rnacentral:pre_miRNA from 1 species
UCUCCAUUUCACGUGCUCUCUCACCGAUCAAAGAGAUGAGAGAGUGUGUGAAAUGAAGAGA